GCACCACAAGAGGUGGGACCUGCGGUUCAAUUGGAUUCAACGCCGGAAAACUCACCAGGGGCGACAGCUGGUUGACGGCCAGAUUGACGAUCUUGCCCGACUAGCUGAGAGGUGGUGCAUGGCCAUCGUCAGCUCGUACCGUGAGGCGUCCUGUUAAGUCAGGCAACGAGCGAGAUCCUCGCCCUUAGUUGCCAUCGGUGGAAAGCCGGGCACUCUAGGGGGACCGCUGGCGCUAAGUCAGAGGAAGGAGAGGGCGACGGUAGGUCAGUAUGCCCCGAAUCCCCUGGGCUACACGCGGGUCACAAUGCGCAGGACAAUGAGAUGCAACCCCGUAAGGGGAAGCCAAACCCAUAAACCUGCGCUCGGUUCGGAUCGAGGGCUGUAACGGGGGGCUCGUGAAGCUGGAAUCUCUAGUAAUCGCGUGCCAACACCGCGCGGUGAAUGCGUCCCUGCUCCUUGCACACACCGCCCGUCAAGCCACUCGAGUGGGGUUUGGAUGAGGUCAGUUCAAGUUGUGCUGCUCGAAUCCGAGUUCUGCAAGAGGGGCU
rnacentral:rRNA from 1 species